GAGAUAGAACUCUAGAGCUUUGGUUCCAAGUCAGAAAUAGAGUACACAGAGACAUCUUGUCUUUCUUUUUUCUCGAAACAACGGUAGAAAUAAAGAAAGAAAAGCACAUCAAGCAGUAGUUCAUGAUCACAAAUGAAACAGAGUUGAUGAAUUAGAAAUUUUUUCAAACCCCAUCAUCUGCCUUCCGGGUGCAAUGGGAAAAGCUCCAGAGUUCUAUC
rnacentral:misc_RNA from 1 species